GUGCUUUGGCAGCACAUAUACUAAAAUUGGAACGAUACAGAGAAGAUUAGCAUGGCCCCUGGGCAAGGAUGACACGCAAAUCUGUGAAGAGUUCCAUAUUAAA
rnacentral:snRNA from 2 species